UACGUAGGGCGCAAGCGUUAUCCGGAAUUAUUGGGCGUAAAGAGCUCGUAGGCGGUCUGUCGCGUCGGCUGUGAAAACCCGGAGCUCAACUCCGGGCCUGCAGUCGAUACGGGCAAACUGGAGUGUUGCAGGGGAGACUGGAAUUCCUGGUGUAGCGGUGAAAUGCGCAGAUAUCAGGAGGAACACCGGUGGCGAAGGCGGGUCUCUGGGCCGAUACUGACGCUAAGGAGCGAAAGCGUGGGGAGCGAACAGG
rnacentral:rRNA from 1 species